UCUGACAGGUUUUUGCAGACAAUCACACCUUAAAAGAAAUCAUUUGGAGUUCAGUUUGUCUCUGUUAUGCAGCAGGACCAUAGACUGUCUAUGAGCAAUACUUCUUUCCUGAAAUUCAAAAAGGCAUCUCAGAUGAACACCUCAUUGAAACUGGUUUGACCACUGUUUACUACAGCAAGUGUCAUAGCAGCAGUCACAUUCAGUCUGUCUCUAUGAAUCAUCGGCUUCACAAAACAAGAAUACCCAAACAACUUUUAUUUUAUUAAAAAAAGGAAAAAAGAUGCAAGUUAAGGAUAACAUUUCAACAUCUAUGACUGCAAAGGCAAACUUUAGAAAAUCAAAGCAUUUGCUGUAUAUCGACACAAGGCUAAAGAAUCACAAAGAGGACACUGACCUUCAGUGGAAAGUGGAGCA